UAGGUUGAGGUGCGGGUGUAGGGUUGGUUAUUUCCACACCAAAAAUCAUCUUCCUCUUUUCAGUAAAUAGAAUUAGUACUAGCUGAACAGAGUUCCUCUCUGCAACUCCUCCUCCAUUACUGCAUUCGAAUUUUCGACAAUGCUGAUUGCUUUCCUCGCUUUUUAUCCAUACCGUUUGGUUCAAA